rnacentral:lncRNA from 1 species
CAUUAUCCACCACCUUGGGAGCAAAUUUCUUCACGGCGUCGCUGACUGUCAGGAAUAUCUUGUCUUCACCAAUCAGUUCUGUGAAUUUCGCUGCGCGGAGCUUCUGGAUCACGUCUGGUCCGGGAUUGGCAAGAACCAGCUGUAAGUGAUAGAAAGACGUUUUGAUUUUAGUGAAGGGUUUCUUCCAUGAACAUUUUUGUGGUAGCAGACUAGCAAUACCGCAGCUAGACCACUAAUAGCUGUAAAGUUUGAUUCGGCUAUUUACCUGAAUCUUGCGCUUUUCAAGUGCUUUUAAUAACUCCUCCAAGGCGUGGAUUCCGCUCGUGUCGAUGUCAAUUACAGCUGUUCAGAGUUAAAGCAAUUUUCUGAAUCACUACCUGUAGUUUAUAUUAUAAAAAGAAUACUGCCUUGUUUGAGACAAAAUGAUGUUCUUACGAGAUAGUUCAACAAUCAGAAACUCAAUUUUGGCUAACUUCUGGUCCUUUUGUUGUUCCUCCUCAUCUCUGAGCCAUCUCAGGAUCCUGAAAAAUAUAUUGUAAUGAUGCAUUUUUUUCUCUCUCUCUAACUACUUUCAAAAUCAUAACACACUUCCGUUAUAGUAUAAUGCACCUAAUUUAAUAUUUCUCGAAUCGCACCUAAUUUAAUCUUAUGCUGUUAAAAUAUUCAUCUUAUAAUGUGUUUACACAUGAAGCCAAUUCUAGAAAAGCUUCUAAUGUAAUCAUGCACUUUCUUUGAAAGGAACUGCAAGUUGUCUUUCUGCUUCUGAAGAUCAUAUAACAGCUUUAGCAUUGAUGUUACCUUCCAAAUUAAGAAAUUAUCAGUUCGAAUGGAAAAAAACAAUAAUGCUGGUAAUCACAUCAUCUAGUUUUAUUUCAAAAUUUUCAAAGUGUAAUUCAAUGGACGGAUCUAAAAUAUAACUUAGUGCUUGGCAUGCCAAAUCCUUAUCUGUCACAUGUUGACCUGGAUGGAAAAGGGUUUAUUGAUAUUUAUUGCAAGCAUCAGCAUCCUAUCCUUUAUUUUUGAUAUUUAAGUUAUUUAUAAAUGCCUCAGGUUCACCUCAUUUUAUCAAAAGAAGCUGUAUCGGUGACAAGUAUAAAAAUACGCCACUCUGAAACCUUAUAAUAGUAGUCUUUGCAGUAACAGAAGCAACUUUUGAUUACAAGCAUUUUUACCUCUCUUUAACAUAGUUGGAGUUUGUGAAGUAGAUAGCUGAGUCCACUCUAACAAUUAGCACCCCUGGAACCUUGGUGGCAUCUGGAUAUUGUUCAACAUUCCUGUAUAAAGUUGUUCGUGGAAGGUUUCCGAGUAAAGCUGUUCUUGGCCGUGUUACUUGGAGAAGAAUUUUAGCAAGUGAUAUCGCAACCUAUUCACAAAAAAAAUUCAACAGUCAAAAUCUAUUCGUCUACUAUACCAGAAUUCAAUUGUUGGUAGCAUAUAAGAAAUGGUUGUGAUUCACACCGCAAUGAGCAAGCCAUAUUCCACUGAUGAAAAUAUGACACCGAGGAAUGCUCCCAGACAUGCUAGAAAGUCCAAUUUAUCAACUUUCCAGACAAGGUAGGCUGACUCAUAGUCAAUUAGGCCAAGCACCGCUGAUAUGAUGAUAGAGGAAAGGAUGGCAUUGGGAGUGUACUUGAACAAUGGGGUGAUCAACAGCAGUGUAAGCAUUACAACAAUUGCCAUAACAACAUUUGAUACUGCUGUUUUGCAGCCAGCCAUGUAAUUAACUGCUGACCGUGAGAAAGAACCUAUGGGGAACAACUUCUGUCAGAAAAAUGGCACAUCUGUAUGGG